GCCUGGGUGGCUCAGUCGGUUGAGUGUCUGACUUCGAUUCAGGUCACAAUCUCGCGGUCUGUGAGUUCGAGCCCCGCAUCAGUCU
rnacentral:tRNA from 1 species